rnacentral:misc_RNA from 1 species
GAUGAAGAACGUAGCGAAAUGCGAUAAGUAAUGUGAAUUGCAGAAUUCAGUGAAUCAUCGAAUCUUUGAACGCACAUUGCGCCCCCUGGAAUUCCGGGGGGCAUGCCUGUUCGAGCGUCUCAGGGACGAACCCUCGCGCGGGUGUACGCGCGGUCGUGGCUGCGGUGGCGUGCCCGAGGCGGCGGCCACCGCGCUGGAAUCCAUGGGCGGACGCCUGCCGCGUGGCCGAGCGUGAUAUGACGCAUUGGCGCUCGCACGCGGCGAGGCUGCCAGCCCUGGCCCGUCUGUCGGGCGGGGGAGAGCAAGACACGUGAACUCCUCGAAUCAGGUAGGGAUACCCGCUGAACUUAAGCAUAUCAAUAAGCGGAGA